rnacentral:rRNA from 1 species
GACGAACGCUGGCGGCGUGCUUAACACAUGCAAGUCGAACGGAAAGGCCCUGCUUUUGUGGGGUGCUCGAGUGGCGAACGGGUGAGUAACACGUGAGUAACCUGCCCUUGACUUUGGGAUAACUUCAGGAAACUGGGGCUAAUACCGGAUAGGAGCUCCUGCUGCAUGUUGGGGGUUGGAAAGUUUCGGCGGUUGGGGAUGGACUCGCGGCUUAUCAGCUUGUUGGUGGGGUAGUGGCUUACCAAGGCUUUGACGGGUAGCCGGCCUGAGAGGGUGACCGGCGACAUUGGGACUGAGAGACGGACCAGACUCCUACGGGAGGCAGCAGUGGGGAAUAUUGCACAAUGGGCGGAAGCCUGAGGCAGAGACGCCGCGUGCGGGAUGACGGCCUUCGGGUUGUAAACCGCUUUCGACUGUGACAAAGCGUGAGUGACGGUAAUGGGUAAAGAAGCACCGGCUAACUACGUG